rnacentral:rRNA from 1 species
AGAGUGAACGCUGGCGGUAGGCCUAACACAUGCAAGUCGAACGGCAGCACGGUAAGAGCUUGCUCUUAUGGGUGGCGAGUGGCGGACGGGUGAGGAAUACAUCGGAAUCUACCUUUUGGUGGGGGAUAACGUAGGGAAACUUACGCUAAUACCGCAUACGCCCUUCGGGGGAAAGCCGGGGACCAGCAAUGGCCUGGUGCUGAUAGAUGAGCCGAUGUCGGAUUAGCUAGUUGGUGAGGUAAUGGCUCACCAAGGCGACGAUCCGUAGCUGGUCUGAGAGGAUGAUCAGCCACACUGGGAACUGAGACACGGUCCAGACCUCCUACGGGAGGCAGCAGGUGGGGGAA